CGAGUGCCCCGAGCGUUAUCCGGAAUUAUUGGGCGUAAAGGGUGUGUAGGUGGUUGUAUAGUCUUCUGUUAAAUUCUUCGGCUUAACCGGGGGCAUGCAGAAGAGACGGUACAACUAGAGGAUGCGAGAGGUGAAUGGAACUCAUGGAGUAGGGGUGAAAUCCGUUGAUAUCAUGGGGAACACCAAAUGCGAAGGCAAUUCACUGGCGCACUCCUGACACUGAAACACGAAAGCGUAGGUAGCGAAGAGGAUUAGAUACCCUCGUAGUCUACGCCCUAAACGAUCCGGACUGGGUUUUCGGAGUAUCGACCCUCUGAGAGCCGAAGCUAACGCGUUAAGUCUGGCGCCUGGGUAGUACGGCCGCAAGGCUA
rnacentral:rRNA from 1 species